rnacentral:rRNA from 1 species
GUGCCAGCCGCCGCGGUAAUACAUAGGGGUCAAGCGUUGUCCGGAUUUAUUGGGCGUAAAGAGCUCGUAGGCGGUUCAACAAGUCGGUCGUGAAAGUUCAGGGCUCAACCCUGAAAUGUCGAUCGAUACUGUUGUGACUAGGAUACGGCAGAGGUGAGUGGAAUUCCGAGUGUAGCGGUGAAAUGCGUAGAUAUUAGAAAGAACACCAGUGGCGAAAGCGCUCUACUGGACCAUUACUGACACUCAGAGGCGAAAGCUAGGGUAGCAAAAGGGAUUAGAUA